AGAGUUUGAUCCUGGCUCAGGAUGAACGCUGGCGGUAUGCCUAACACAUGCAAGUCGAACGGGGUCUUCGGACCUAGUGGCGGACGGGUGAGUAACGCGUGAGAAUCUGCCUUCAGGAUGGGGACAACAGUUGGAAACGACUGCUAAUACCCGAUAUGACGAAAGUUGAAAGAUUUAUCGCCUGGAGAUGAGCUCGCGUCAGAUUAGCUAGAUGGUGUGGUAACGGCGCACCAUGGCGACGAUCUGUAGCUGGUCUGAGAGGAUGAGCAGCCACACUGGGACUGAGACACGGCCCAGACUCCUACGGGAGGCAGCAGUGGGGAAUUUUCCGCAAUGGGCGCAAGCCUGACGGAGCAAUACCGCGUGAGGGAGGAAGGCUCUUGGGUCGUAAACCUCUUUUCUCAGGGAAGAAUACAAUGACGGUACCUGAGGAAUCAGCAUCGGCUAACUCCGUGCCAGCAGCCGCGGUAAUACGGAGGAUGCAAGCGUUAUCCGGAAUGAUUGGGCGUAAAGCGUCCGUAGGUGGUUAUGUAAGUCUGUGGUUAAAGCGUGGGGCUCAACCCCAUAAGGGCCAUGGAAACUACACAACUAGAGUCAAGUAGGGGUAGAGGGAAUUCCCAGUGUAGCGGUGAAAUGCGUAGAGAUUGGGAAGAACACCGGUGGCGAAAGCGCUCUACUGGACUUAAACUGACACUGAGGGACGAAAGCUAGGGGAGCGAAAGGGAUUAGAUACCCCUGUAGUCCUAGCCGUAAACGAUGGAUACUAGGUGUUGCCCGUAUCGACCCGGGCAGUGCCGUAGCUAACGCGUUAAGUAUCCCGCCUGGGGAGUACGCACGCAAGUGU
rnacentral:rRNA from 1 species